AUUGUCUAAGUUCAAACUGCUGUUUCAUGCACAAACCUGAAAAAAAACUAUUUAGGAAACUAUAUUCCUGAGAUGCAAAAUGCUUGCAGUUCAGUCCCGAGAUGAAGUCCACACCAAUGACAGAAACAGACAACGAAGCUGCCAGUAAGAAAUACAACACUUGAAUGAUACUCGUCACAACAGUAUGUUACACAAAAGGAUCUUCGAUCAGAAGAAUAAUGGUAAAAAAUGAUAGCUUCCCUUUAAAUGCUAUGGGCCAGUAGAUCUGACCCUUAGUAUAUAUAGUGAGCUCUGUGUUGUUGGAAUCUUAAAUUUUAUAGCAAUACAAUGAACUAGACUGAAAUACUGUAACAGGCCUUGAGCUUUCCUUCUAAAGCGUCCAUAUGCUCUGACUAGACUGGCUGUGCUACACUCUGUCCAGUGAUGGUGAAUACUCAUCGCACAGUACAUUUCUGUUUUGUAUAGCACUCCAAUAUUUUACCCAACAACACUGUACACCUGAAAGGCCAGAGAACAGAUUGGAGUUUCUCCCAUGAAAUAUUUGUUUCACAUCUUCCUUUUUUCCAAGUGUUUUUAUCUUUUUGUCAGUGAAUGUGAUAAACGUAUUUGGAGCUUAAAGUACUUUUCAUUCCUCUCUCAUUUCUUUGGGUUCUAUAGCCAUAAGCAGCAAGAAAUUGGGGAAUUCUGUAUAGGGACAAAAAAGCCCCCAGAGGAAUUAAUUUUUCAAAGGAUUCACUUAGUGAAUGACUGGCCAGCAAAAAUAUUGCAGUCUAAUAAUCUGCUAUUGUCUAUAAAUUUGGAAUUUAAAACUCUUUUCAAUUGAUUUUUUUCUUUUGAAAGUCACUGAGAUAUUGUUCUGGUUUUCCUGUUCCAGAAAAGGACCACUUUUUUAGCUGUUUUGGGGUAAAUUUCCCAAACAAUUCAUGACAGGUAUAUAUAUUAACCCAAACAACAAAAUUUUAUAUUAUUUCAUGAAGAUUAUGUCCAUAAGGAAGUAAAGUAUGGAAACAUAUCUUGAAAGUUCUACCUUUCCCUUCUAUGUUAAGCACGAUUUUGGAAAUGUAGCCCAGAAUAUUCUUUCAAAGGAAGGAAACAACAUAUACCAUGUUUUCCCCCAUAAUAAAAGAAUAAAGUUCUAAAGCUUCUCAAAAAUUGCAAACAGAUAAUGAUGCCUGUCUGUCUUUGCCUGCCACAGGUUACUGUUCUACAUAAGCAGCAUAUCAUCUUUUGCCCUUAGUGAACACUGCAUUACAGCUGACCAUUCCCUGCAUGACCAAUUAUCCUACUACUGUGUGAAAACAAAAUUAAAGUAAAUCCAAACAGUAUUAGAGGUUUGUGUAUUUUUACAGAAAACAAAGCUGAUUUGACUUUCUCAACUGAAAUUGUAGCCAAUAACUAUACAGUAUAAUAUUGUUUACCACAGGUUUGGCCAUUACAUUAAGCUUGCUUUUCAAUGGAUUAGCUAAAUGGCCAGCCAUAGAUUAAGUUUAUGAAUUCAGUCCCUUAACUUGUUUAGAAAGGACUGGAAAAAAUGUCAGGAUUUUUCUCUAUAAUAGUACCUCUUUAAUAUAAAAGUUAUGAAAACACACACUGUGGACUGUACUGACAUUCUGCUUGCUAGGUCUGUUUUUAUGGAUGUGGUAGGGAGGGGCUGUGUGUAAAAAGAAGGCACUGGAAUAAUUUCCUGCAUGGCUGACAAUUUCCUAUGUCUCCUAAUUCAAUGACACUCUUAAGUUCUGUCCAGAGGGCUUUGUUGAAGUCCUAAGACACUACUUGAAAAUCUAUGGGUACCAAAUGUGACUCUUGAAGCUUUUUUAGCACUUGUUGACUAAGUACUUUUUCACUGCUUCUGAAAUAAUAUAGCCCAUGUUAUGGAUAACUUAAAGUUUCCAGAGUUCAUGCAUAAAUUAUUUUCAAUAGCACAGAGUUACAAAGGGUAGUAAUAAGGUAAAUAUUCCACUUUUGCAAUUAUUAAUUUUGAAAAAGGGUUUAUCCAGAGAGAGAAGGGAGGAAUUCUUAAGGAAAUGGAUCACUUAGGACCACCUUUUCUUAAGCAAAUGUCAGUGAAGGAAAAGGUUCGAUGUCCAACCUGGAAGAGAAGGGUCAACUUAGGUCUUGCACAUACUACUGUAAAGCUGGAAACAGUCCAACCAAACCAAAGCACCGAUGGUAGGUACAGCAAUGCCCAAAUUUUUAAUGGAAUCAUACAUGCAUACAUGCAGCACCACCACAAAUCAAAAAGUGUAUCAUGUUAUGAAGCCGGUAGGUUUAAUGCUACCUCAGAGUUUGUGAUUUGGACACUACCUGCAGUGAAAUCAAACCUCCAACUGAUACAAAAGAUCUGUGUCCUUUUGCAAUAGUCUUUCUCCAUUUGCUUAAAGAAUUCUUUCACACAAGUCUCUAGAAAAGGGAGCGAAUACCUUAUUCAUAUGUCACACUGUAUCUUUAGCUAAAAUGCUUACUGCUGGUGUAUUCCUGCUUCAUUUUGCAUAAUCUGACAUCAUAUACUGAAAGAGAAAGAGGGCCAAUGUGCCUCUCAGAAAUCAAGUAGUCAUGAGACUUUACCUGCCACUACAGAUAUGCACAUGCAUACACAUUUACACACAUGCACACACACAUACACACACAUACGCGCACACACACUCAUGCAAAAAAUAGGAAAAACGACUCAGCAAUUGCAAGAGUCGCAAUUUACCAUGGAAGCCUCUACUUAAUAUUCCGCUUGAUCUGCCAAGUUUAUAGCCUGGCAAAUCUGAAUACAAAUGUCGAUGCAAAUGAGGAUUCAUUAUUCUUACAUCGUCUUUGUGUUGAAGCUUAAUGUAACUUGGUUCCUGUGGUUGCUCAGGGAAUGUAGAUUGCAAGACAGGAGGGAAAAAAAAAACCUCGACAGAAACCAGACAAGCAAACAGGGAAAAGAAAAGUAACAGAAAUGGGAAUAAAUGAAAAAAAAUAUGCUAAGGUUUCAGACUGGCAAAACAUCAAACUAGUGCAUUACAUUCUCCCCCUAUUUUCUCAUAUAAGGUACAUUUGCUUAUCAUUAUCAGCAUAGAAGGAGUUAACUAACCAAGACCAUUCUCCACAGAGUCAAAACAUAACAAUCCUCCUUUUACUGAUUAUACAAUAUUGUGCCCAUUGUAAAGUCAGUGCCCCAUUUAUCUGAAAAUUUUAACAUUCUUUUAUAAUAACAGAGCUCAUCGGCUGGUAGAACCUGUACAUUUAGAUCUGUAAGAAGAUUAUAAAUGAAUUUAAAACCACCCCACCAUUUCUGCUUCUUUCAUUGCAAAUUACUGCUGAAUAAUUCAGAAACACGUUAAGAAAACUACAGUCCGAUUAAUAAACUAUACAAUGAAAAUCACAAUAGUUUAAAUCAUACAUUUAUUGUCCCAUUUAUAGCCCAUCACAAGCAAGGGUUGAAAAGCACCAAAUUAGAGAAAACAUGAAAUGCUGCAAAAUUAUAAUUAGAUCCUCAGUGCCACAGUACAUUGUUCUGAUGAAUCUUUUGUAUGGCUAGCUUAUUCUUACAUAUAAAUACCUUCUCAGUAAAUAAAAAUGUACUGUAGGCUUGACUUUUAGAGAAGCUGUAAAGCUUAGCAUAUGCGAUGAUCCCAAAGUCAAUGCUGUAAGGCUUGCUUCUUCAUCCAUAAAUAAAGCACAUUUGCAUCCAUUCAGUCAAAUUAGCUCCAUAUAAAAAGGUGGUUAUAAUUAGCUCCUCUUUCAGGUUCACGGUUAAAACUCAAGCGUGCUUGCCGUCUUGAUUAAAUCCACCAUCGUCUUCCAAUAGCUAGUGCUAAUUCUUCCAAGGAAAUAUUCAGUUGAGGUGUUAUUUUAUUCUGCACUGCUGUUAGUUGUCUAAUUUACGCCAAGUCCCUGCAGUGCUUUCCUUAAGCCAUCCUCUUUGUCUUGCCUUUGAAAUUUACCAAAUCUUACAAGAAAUCAAUACUUAAUUGAUUAUUCACUUUUCUGCAGCUUCAAACAGCAAGCACGCAUAAGAUCCUGGAGUAGUCACCCGAUUUCCAAUGCAGGAGGUUGCUUGGUGGCAGGGAUCUGCAAGUAUCCAACAGCAGGCAUUCCACAGAGCUGUGCAGUGGCGUACAGUGCCAGCAUCCAAUAAAGAAAACGAAGAUACUCUAACGAAGCAGGAAAAGUUCCCAUGUGAGACAGAUCCAUAUCAAUGCUUUAAAUAAAAAGCGGAGGCACUGGCUUUCAGAUAGAAGAGCACCAUUCUCUUUGCAGCUAUCCCUCUGUUUUUUGCUUACCCUUUUCUUCCUAUGGCACUGAAGUGGAAUAUCCAAAGUGCCACCGAACUCACAGAACUCCACGCUGGAACGGGGGUGAGGCUUGUGUUGUACCUCUGGCAUAGAAUAAGGAUGGUAAGCACGUAACAUUACGAAAUGUAGGACAAAUUCAGGCGAGAGAGAGAGAGAGGGAGAGCAAGAGACAGAUGGCGGAUCUGGCUGGGAGCCAAAGCCAGUGAAAUGAAUUACAUUGCUGAAUAACUGUACACCAUUGAUUCUGCCACUUGUUGCUGCAUGGCAAAAAAGGGCCCUGACGUUGGCAGGAAUCUCCUCGCGUGUCACACAUGCCACAGACAACUUUUCACAUGUAACUCGCUGCACCGACACACACACGCGCUAUGGCAGGGAAUGUCGUGUGUGUGUGUGUGUGUGUGUGUGUGUGUUUCUGUGUGUGUGUGUAUGAAAGUGAGUGCGUGUGCAUGAGGGAGAAGAAGAGAGAAAGCCAGAGUGCGUGUGGGGGGUGUGUGGGUAUGUGCCUGCAUGCGUGGUGUGUGUGCCUGUGCGCGCGCGCGCGCGUGGAGGGGAAAACAAUCACUGCAAUCCAGCCAUUUUGUUUAAUGAAGAAUGGAAGGCUGGCAUUCAGAGACGUGGUUAUGUGCCGCAUAUUAAUGUGUGCUCUGUAGACAUCCUCCCCCUUUUUAGAUGAGUGGCACAGGAAUGAAGCCCUCUAUAGAGCAGCCACUGCGGGAGCAGGAGCUCGCAAGAUUUCCACAUGAAACCGCUAUGGAAAUACUCAAUUCCUUUUAAAGAAAUUCACAAUUUAGGGUCCUGUCAGCAGCUCUGGGGUCUUUUGUUAGGUGCACUUAAAAUGCCAGAUUAAAUAUUAAUAUGUGGUUAGAGUUGUGCUAUUUUGCAAGCCCUGAAACCCUAUUAGUAAAUCAUGAUCUAGUGACUGAUGCAAGAAAUUUCAAGGCACCAAGAGUGCAGAUUGCCCAUCAAUCUGAUGGAUCACUAAUUUUUAGUAAAUCAGGCCCUUGGACUUUUCGCUGUAAGCAGAUGUAUGUUUCAUUGUGACGGGAAAAGCAGUCCAACUAACAGAGCAAUUUUCUGCACUGAAUGUGUAUCAUAACAGGCAGAGUUGUUUUGCAUAAUCAGUAAGUGAUUUGAACACAAGUGUUCAUUUAGCCGGCUCUGCAUAACUGAUGCUGUUCCGGGAAAAAAACCCACAUUUUGAACUAGAAGAGAAAUUUGUAUUAUUUUCAUAGAGUAGUACUAGGAUUUCAAAAUGGAUCCUCAAUGUGGUAGAGCUCCAGAAAGAUGCUGAAGAGGAAUGCCCAGGGAGAAGUAGAGUGGAGUAUUUCCAGCCAGCCUAAGGAGCUGCAUCCCUUCAACAGGCUUCAUCAUUCACUGCCAAUUGGCGAUGAAUUCGUUCUCCCAGACACUGUCAUUUUGGAGCACUGAAGACAAUUCUUGGCACUUGAGGAACACAUGUGCAAGCAUGCUGGCCACUGGAAUUAUGAGCACAACUGAAGGAAUGAUGUGUCCUUUCCCAUCGUGGCAAGGAUGUCUCAAGGACUCUAUUGGCUCUUAUGCAUUGACACUAUUUCUCACUCUGACAAAGAUCCAUUAAGCAUAAAUAAUUUUUUGGUCACAAUAUAGCAAAAUAAAAAUCUUAUUUCUAUGUGAGACUACACAUUGUAUAAGAGACACACAGAUAUGUACCACAGGGGUACCUGCUUUCAGUCGUAACUGUAGUUUAUUCAGAACUUGCAGCUUACAUAUUUGUCUCAACGAUUUUUAGAAAAUAUAUAUAAUAAAAAUUCGUUGUGGAGCAAUAUAGGUUUAAGACUUGUAUAUUCCUGUGCAGAAGGAAAAGAUAAUAAAUAAUUGCAUUCUGCAUUCAUAUAAAACAAUGUUAAAGGCCCAAAUUCUGUCUAAACUCGCACAGACUUCCUGAUAUGAAAGUAAAUUGUAUUAACCCAUUGUAAAAACUGUAUGAACUGUACUUAACUUCUCCAAACAAACAUAUUUAACAUCAAGAGAAGAAAAAAAUACUGAUAAACUAGAAAUAAUUAAUAAAUGUAACUUUUUUGCAGAAUAUACAA